rnacentral:rRNA from 1 species
UACAGAGGUCUCAAGCGUUGUUCGGAUUCAUUGGGCGUAAAGGGUGCGUAGGUGGCGCGCUAAGUCAGGUGUGAAAUCUCGGGGCUUAACUCCGAAACUGCAUUUGAUACUGGCGUGCUUGAGGACUGGAGAGGAGACUGGAAUUCAUGGUGUAGCAGUGAAAUGCGUAGAGAUCAUGAGGAAGACCAGUGGCGAAGGCGGGUCUCUGGACAGUUCCUGACACUGAGGCACGAAGGCCAGGGGGAGCAAACGGGG